AGUUUUGACGAAGGUGCCGCACAUUUGGAUUGUGUCAUCAAUUCAGCAUACGAUCUGUGACAAUUUGGGAUAGCUUUGUACUAAUUCUUCCACAAACCAUACAACCAAUAAUAUCAGAAUACCUUCACGUUACCAAAAUAAGAGAAGGAAACUGAUUUGCAGAACUCGAUGCUACAGUAAAUCCAAAAAUAAAUUUAAGAUUUGCAGCG
rnacentral:lncRNA from 1 species